AAGUCGUAACAAGGUUUCCGUAGGUGAACCUGCGGAAGGAUCAUUAGAGAAAUUGUACCAAAACAAUAUGGACAAUCCAUCCAUAUUAUCCCACCUUGUGUGCAUCCAUUGAAACCAUGCUUUGGGAGGUUCUCUCUCUCUUUGGAGAGAGGGACUUUAAGCCUCCCAAGGUUUUUCCCUUGCACACCUUUCUUUCUUGUUUCUCCUGAAAAAAAUAAAAUAAAAAAAUACAACUUUCAACAACGGAUCUCUUGGCUCUC
rnacentral:misc_RNA from 1 species